rnacentral:misc_RNA from 1 species
GAAAUGCGAUAAGUAAUGUGAAUUGCAGAAUUCAGUGAAUCAUCAAAUCUUUGAACGCACAUUGCGCCCGCCAGUAUUCUGGCGGGCAUGCCUGUUCGAGCGUCAUUUCAACCAUCAAGCCCCGGGCUUGUGUUGGGGACCUGCGGCUGCCGCAGGCCCUGAAAAGCAGUGGCGGGCUCGCUGUCACACCGAGCGUAGUAGCAUACAUCUCGCUCUGGGCGUGCUGCGGGUUCCGGCCGUUAAACCACCUUCGUAACCCAAGGUUGACCUCGGAUCAGGUAGGAAGACCCGCUGAACUUAAGC